rnacentral:rRNA from 1 species
GCUUACGGCUAUACCACGUUGAGAACACGCUAUCCUGUCCGAUCUGGCAAGUUAAGCAACGUUGGGCCUGGUUAGUACUUGGAUCGGAGACGGCUUGGAAACCCCAGGUGUCGUAGGUU